rnacentral:lncRNA from 1 species
GUUCUAUUAUGCAAAUAAAUGCUGUUACUUUUACAUUAACUAGCUCUGCUUCUAUUGUCUUAUAAAAUAAAGGCUAUGAAGGAUUUGCGUUUUCUCGUUAAUUGUUUUACAUUGUCUUAUCGGGGUCUUUUAUAGCUGACUAUGUGGUAUGCGCUUUGUUUAUUGUUGAAGACCGUACGGUGACCUAUAAUUGUUUAUUUCUGUGUCAUUUUUGGUUUCUUGUGGACAGUUGUCUCAUUGGCAAUCACACCACAUCUUCUUUUUAUAUUGGUUUUAAAAUUAGGUCAUUCUUUACUACCUUGAACACAAAACACAAAAGUUAACGCCAAGUCUGCAUGCAGUGCUGGAUGUAAUGAGGAAUGCAAUCACGCAAUGAUGAACAAUUUGCCGCGACAAUAAUGAAUAUCAUUUUAAUUAAUAGCAGACAUUUUACAUAGCAAUACAUCUGUACAGUGUUGAUAUGGUAAAAAGUUUUGU